ACGUUGAAACACCCGUUCCAGUGCGAUCACCGAAGUUAAGCAACGCCAAGCCUGGUCAUUACCUAGAUGGGUGACCACUUGGGCAUACGAGGUGCUGUAAG